rnacentral:rRNA from 1 species
AGCAUGUGGUUAAUUCGAAGCAACGCGAAGACCUUACCAGGUCUUGACAUCCCGAUGCUAUUUCUAGAGAUAGAAAGUUACUUCGGUACAUCGGUGACAGGUGGUGCAUGGUUGUCGUCAGCUCGUGUCGUGGGAUGUUGGGUUAAGUCCUGCAACGAGCGCAACCCCUAUUGUUAGUUGCCAUCAUUCAGUUGGGCACUCUAGCGAGACUGCCGGUAAUAAACCGGAGGAAGGUGGGGAUGACGUCAAAUCAUCAUGCCCCUUAUGACCUGGGCUACACACGUGCUACAAUGGUUGGUACAACGAGUUGCGAGUCGGUGACGGCGAGCUAAUCUCUUAAAGCCAAUCUCAGUUCGGAUUGUAGGCUGCAACUCGCCUACAUGAAGUCGGAAUCCGUAGUAAUCGCGUUUCAACAGAACGCGGUGAAUACCGUCCCUGCUCCUU